rnacentral:lncRNA from 1 species
UGUAAGAGUAAGGCGUCAGCAGCGCAUGCCGGAGUCCCAGCACAGGGCAGCGAACACCUACUACCCUUUCCAGCACAUGUGGAGCAAAGCAGAAGCCAGCGCAGGGCACAGCCAGAUGACCUGUGCUAGCAGUGAACAGGAGGAGGAAAACUGUUCCCGAGAAGCCAUCUGCCUCUCCGAGUUGCUGCUCACAAUGCUUGCUGCAUUCCCGGUGACUUCCAUAGCUCUUGAAGGUUUGCACUACAGUGUUGCAUGCAGAUUCUGUCUCCCCCACCGGACUGCAGGGGGAGGGGGGAGUUCAAGUUUUAAUCACAUCCCUGGGGCCCAGAGCCCCUGGAAUGGUCUCUUCUGCCUUCCUGGUGCUCAGUAAUAAAGCUGGUAAUUACACAAUAGCCCUUGCCUCUUCUACUUUUCUACUGAACAUCUUAUUUUAUUAAAAAAUACUACAGUAGACAGAAAGAUGGGCUCCCGAAGAUAUCCACA